UGUUAUCAGUAUUUUACAGCGACUGUGGAAUAUCACUUGACCUCGUCAUCUUAUUAAUUAUGUUUUAUUACCAAAUGAGUUUUAAACCGUAAUGCAGAUGUUUGAAAAGUAACCAUUUUAAUGUAGUGUUUGGUGUUGUAUAAGAACAAAAAAAUUGACAGGCAGAUCUUCUAUAAUGGUAGAAUUGAAUUCGACUACUUCUGGAUAUUUCGCUGUUGCAAAUGACAUUAUUCUUUCAUUAUCUGGACUUGUUGCAAUACUUAUAGAUGUAAUUCUUAUAUACAUUGUUCUCCAUUUUCGGAGACUUAAUAAAAUCGUUUAUUUAUUCCUUGUACAUCGGUCAUUUGCAGAAUUAAUUCGUUUGAUGGUAAAUCCAGUCACAUUUUCACUAAUCUACCAUAAUAUGCACAUAGAUUUAUUCUACUUAACGUCAGAAAUCGGUUCACUGGCUAGGACAGCCGUUGCACUUUUUGAAAAUUUUAUGGUUUUUGACUGGAUGAUGGAAAAUUUUUUUCCGAAUAAGUUGACACCAUGGAGGAAUAAAUAUAAGAUUGUCGUGACCGUUGUAUGGGCGCCUGUGCUAUUCGGAUUUUUAUGGAUUUUCGGACAUUUCAACCAUAAUUCUUUAGUUUAUUUAUUUAAAAUGUUUGCGGGAUCGACGUCCUUAGUAUGCAUUUGCUUCACAGUCGUCCUUCAAAUAAUUAGAUGUUUUAUGGUUUAUAUUAAAAAAAAGACUUUCAGUGAUAAUCGUGGUUUGAAUUUAGUGACUUUAAGUGUUACAAUGCGUGUUGUUGCCUUGUUGAUUAUGUUUAUUAUUGACAAGUUUGCGAUAUUCCUCUUUUUUGAACAUUUGCUAAUGAUAGCAUUUAUUUUGUAUCUCAGUAUAUUCUGUGAUGAUUUUGCAAGUUAUUUUAAGAAAUUUUGCGUUUGUGACUUAAAAGACGAUUCACUGGAUGAUUCUCAAAUUUAUCUGUGCCAAGGGUGUGGUGCUUAUGUCGGAUUUGAGGACUUGAGUUCGGAAACUAUAGAAGAAAAUUUUCCCUCAAGGAACACCGUUUGAAUAGUGAUAUCUACACAUUUUACUGCCACUUAUUAUCAUUUUUAUACAUUUAUGUAUUUGCUUACUUUUCUGUGUAGUUCUUGUCAGCGUGUAGUUAUCCAUUCAUUUAAAUUUUCAUUAUCCUUUAUGUAUUAUGCCACAUUUACAAUCAAUGUCCUGAUACUUUCAUGAAAUUAUAGGUUUUUCUUUUCAGUAUAUUCUAUUUAGAGGUGACCCCAUUUUUUUCUCCUUUAUUUUUUACGAAACUCUUCCUAAAUUAAUUUUGUGAUUUUUUUUAUUAUGAUGCUUGAUAAUUCAAAGGAUUGGUAUAGUAGAAGUAAUUUUUCCUUGUUCCGUACAGAGAUAAAGAACGCUGGUAAGAGCUAUAUAAUAUUUUGAUUUAUAUAUUUUAGGAAAUAAUUGGUUUUCAUGAAUGCAUAUUAAAUUAAAAAGUUUUAAGCACACAUUUGUAUGUAACUAGCCAAUGUUUGGCUUAUUUUGUUUGCAAUAAAUUGCAAUCAAGUCAUUUUAAACUAUAGUUGUAAACCAUUUUCACAGUAAUAAAUAUAAUGUGAAUUGCUUUCUCGAUUCAAUAAUAUGAUUUACUUUACUUUAUCAUCAUACAAAGCAAAUUUCAGAUUUAAUUUCAUUUUCUACAUUUGUUUUAUUAUUGGUAAUGAAAUGGUUCCAAUGUUUUUGCUAAUUCUACAAAAUCAAUAAAACGUAGCUUUGUAUAAAUUGUAAUUUAAAUACAAUAUAAAAUUUA